UUGCAGAUUAUUUUUUUUUCUUCACUCAAUGCAAAGGUACAAAGAAUCAUCUUGUGUCCACCAUCUUUGAUGGAGAUUGUCAUUGCUAUCCAAUCAACUUGCUUAUUUUUCACCUCUAGCCAUUGUAUACCAAGGAUAAUAUGAUAUCUGAGCUUUGUUACUUUGAACCUCUCUCUUAAGAUGUAGGUGUCAGUCAACUUCAAGGUUUCUUCUUUACAUGUAUCAUUUAAUACAUUCUCUUGGUCAUCUACAAGUAUAUACUUCUUCCUUUGAUUAUCUUAGUUUUAAUCCCAAGUUGGUUGGCAAUUUUGGUCAAGAUGCAAUUUUUUGUAGAGCCACAAUCUACAAGCACUCAACAUGGUUGUCUUUCUAGUAGUCCCAUUAAAUGUACUAGUUGAAUCUUUUUAUAGUUGUCUAAGGCCAUGCCAUUUAUCUUUGAGAGAUAGUAAUUAUUUCCAUUACUGGCC
rnacentral:lncRNA from 1 species